UCUUCUGCUCCUGAUAAGCCCCACCCCCCACAGGUCCACACACACCAUAAACACAACCCUGGUCUGUGCAUACUUCCCAACACCCUGGAGUGUACCCCGAUACCCCACUGCAGAGACCCCCACCUCUCCACCAAUGCCACACCUGGUCCUCACACAGGUGGUGCCCCAAAGAGGUGAACACACCCUCCUGCCUGUAGAGGAUCAAGGCACCCAAUCAAUGCAGGCCGACAAGUAGCCUGAGGGUUUGCUGUUGGGUAGGGCUGGUCCCUAGGGUGUGCUGCCUACCCUGGCUGAACUAGAUUAAAUCUGCACUUCAGUGGGUGUGGCAGACCCUUGGGCUAACAGGCCAGGGGAAGAACUUCAAUGGUGUCUGCCAGGGUCUGUGUCAGCAUGCCUGGACUAAGUGACAACAAUGGCCACCACCAAUGUCUCAGUCUCCAGAGAGGUCUCACAUCACAAUGAGAUGCACUCAGAGCCCACCAGUCCACUUCAAAUUUUACAAAGCUACCUUGUGAAGGCUUGAAAAAACAUUCUAGGUUAUUGAGGAAUGAAUGUGUAGUGGCAGAAGACACAUGUGGUAUGCUGGAUGUACUGAAAUUCUCUCCAUACAGAUGGUCGACUGGGAAUACGUGGUACUCACUGAGCAAAGAUGUACACGCAAUUGUUCUUUCAGGACUCUGUUCAGCCCACAGAUGUCUCCACAGCUGCUCUCUAUUCCAAAGGGGGAUGUUUUUUCCUUAGAAGCAGUCAUCCAGGCGGAUCCCUCGCUAUUCCUCCAGCAUGCCAUCUAUUCUUCAACACCAGCAGACCUCUGAAGAUGCACCUCCUUCUAGCAGCCACGCACUCAAGUUGCUCUCCUACAGCAUCAACUAGGCGGUGAACCCUCCAUUUAACGCCACCUGGCGCGGUCACUUGCUGCUCCUCGAUA
rnacentral:lncRNA from 1 species